AGAAGGAUCCUGCUUAUUUUUACGGAUAUGUGUAUUUCCGACAAGUUCGAGAUAAAACUCUAAAAAGAGGCUACUUUCAGAAGUCAUUGGUUUUAAUCAGCAAACUACCUUAUAUUCAUUUUUUUCAUACUGUGCUCAAACAGAUAGCACCUGAGUAUUUUGAGAAGAGUGAACCUUAUUUGGAAGCGGCUUGUAAUGAUGUUGAUCGAUGGCCUGCCCCAGUACCAGGGAAAACGUUACACCUGCCUAUCAUGGGGGUGGUAAUGAAGGUA